UACGUAGGCAGCAAGCGUUGUUCGGAAUUACUGGGCGUAAAGGGUGUGCAGGCGGCGUGGUAAGUGUGGUGUGAAAUCUCCCGGCUUAACCGGGAGGGUGCGCUACAGACUGCCAUGCUCGAGUGUGGGAUGGGAGAGUGGAAUUCCUGGUGUAGCGGUGGAAUGCGCAGAUAUCAGGAGGAACACCAAUGGCGAAGGCAGGUCUCUGGGCCACAACUGACGCUGAGGCACGAAAGCUAGGGGAGCAAACAGG
rnacentral:rRNA from 1 species